GAUGAACGCUGGCGGCAUGCCUAAUACAUGCAAGUCGAGCGAACAGACGAGUAGCUUGCUCCUCUGACGUUAGCGACGCACAGGAUAGUAACCCUUGGAUAACCUCCCUAUAAGACUAGGAUAACUUCUACAACCCGGAGCGAAUACCAGAUGAUAUAUUACACCGCAUGAUUCAAUAGUGACAGACUAUUUUGCUGUCACUUCAAUAUCUAUCCACGGCGCAUUAGCUAAUUGGUAAGGUAACGACUACCCAAUGCAACGAGACGUAGCCGACCUGAGAGGGUGAUAGGCCACACUGGAACUGAGAGACGGUCCAGACUCGUACGGGGAGCAGCAGCAGGGAAUCUGCGGAGAUGGGAGAAAGCAUGCCGGAGCAAUGCGGGGUGAGUGAUGAGGGUCUUCGGGUCGUAAAACACUGUUAUUAGGGAAGAAGAAAUGUGUAAGUAACUAUGGACGUAAUGACGGUACCUAGUGAGAAAGCAACGGCUAACUCCGUG
rnacentral:rRNA from 1 species